rnacentral:rRNA from 1 species
CGGUAAUUCCAGCUCCAAUAGCGUAUACUAAAGUUGUUGCAGUUAAAAAGCUCGUAGUUGGAUUUCUGCGGGGACGGAGCGGCCGGACGCAACUUGCGUCUCGAGCUAGCGCUUUCCCCGCAUCCUGCCGCGAACCGUGCUACCAUUAGUUUGGUGGCGCUGGGGAUCGGCUCGAUUACUUUGAGAAAAAUAGAGUGUUCAAAGCAGGCCACACGCCUUGAAUAAGUUAGCAUGGAAUAAUGACUAAGGACUUUGGUUCUUUUCGUUGGUGUUCGGGACUGAAGUAAUGAUUGAUAGGGACAGUUGGGGCGGUCCGUAUUCCAAAGCGAGAGGUGAAAUUCUUAGACCUUCGGAAGACGAACAGCUGCGAAAGCGUUCCGCAAGGAUGUUCCCUUUGAUCAAGAACGAAAGUUGGGGGAUCGAAGACGAUCAGAUACCGUCGUAGUCUCAACUAUAAACUAUACCAGCUAGGGAUCGGCCAACGUUUAAUUAUUCGACUUGGUCGGCACCUUAUGAGAAAUCAAAGCAUCUGGGUUCCGGGGGGAGUAUGGUCGCAAGGCUGAAACUUAAAGGAAUUGACGGAAGGGCACCACCGGGCGUGGAGCCUGUGGCUUAAUUUGACUCAACACGGGAAAACUUACCAGGUCCAGACAUAGGAAGGAUUGACAGAUUGAUAGCUCUUUCUUGAUUCUGUGGGUGGUGGUGCAUGGCCGUUUUUAGUCGGUGAAGUGAUUUGUCUGCUUAAUUGCGUUAACGGACGAGACCCCAGCCUGCUAAAUAGCGCGGCCGAGCUUUGCUCGGUACGAGCUUCUUAGAGGGACCAUGAUGCGCGAUAGCACAAGGAAGUUUGGGGCAACAACAGGUCUGUGAUGCCCUUAGAUGUUCUGGGCCGCACACGGGCUACACUGGCGCCUGCAACGAGCAUAUCAGCUGGCCCGAGAGGGUCUUGGCUAAUCUUUGGAACCGGCGCCGUGCUUGGGAUUGACCAUUGCAAUUGUUGGUCAUGCAACGAGGAAUGCCUUGUAAACGCGAGUCAUCAGCUCGCAUUGAAUACGUCCCUGCUCCUUGUACACACCGCCC